rnacentral:lncRNA from 1 species
GAUGAGGCUGAAUAUCUCCUUCCCUGCCUCUGGCCAUCAGAAACUCACUGAAGUGGAUGGCAAAGGCAAGCUUCAUAUAUUCUAUGAGAGGUGCAUAGCCACAGAAGUAGCUGCUGAUGCUCUUGAUGAAGAGUGAAGGGUUAUUUGGUCCAAAUCAGUGGUGAAAAUGACAAGCAAGGUUUUCCCAUAAAGCAAGGCAUUCUGACCCAUGGCAGCUGUGCCUGCUGUUGAGUAAUGGGCAUCCUUGUUAUAACAAGGAGAACAGGAGAGAGGAAGUACAAGUCUGUUCAUGGAUGCAUUGCAGAUUAAGUCCAUUAUC